rnacentral:snRNA from 1 species
GUGCUCACUUCAGCAGCACAUAUAAUAUACUAAAAUUGGAGCGAUAUAGAGAAGAUUAAUAUGGACCCUGUGCAACGGUGACACAAAUUCGUGAAGCAUUUUAUAUUUAA